AAAAUGAAGCGAUUUAUCGAUACACUGCUGAGACUCGUGCGUGCCAGCUGAUACUAGGCUACAGUGCAAGCGCAGUCAUAUGAAAUAUACAACGGCAACGUGACUUUAAUACCAAGAUUUUGUGUCGUGUUGCUUCAAGUAAGACAAAUAUGUCCUUUGUAUUCCGUGACAGCUAAAACAUGAAUUAUUUAAAUAACAAUCGACAGAAACUAUGGAAACAGUGUUGAAACGGUGUUGAAACACAGCUGACAGAGGCGCUCGAAAGGCACCAGAAAAUGUCAACACUUGUAUAUAUAUUGAACAAAAUAUUGUUAAUAUUUCAGCUAAAAGGUAGAUCAGUGAGUUAACAGCAGAUCUGUUGGGUGAAGUAGAAAAACAGACAACAAUUAAAUCAACUAAACAAAAACGAAACACUCACCUUUUAAUUUAACAUACGCUUGUCAAAAAGUCAAAAGUUGAAAAGAACGUGAAGCGUGCUCCAGCCCAAUUUUCGGUUCCAAAAGACCCGUUCGCAGGCAAACACUGCGCGCAAAGCAGGCUGGUCAUUUCCCAUUGUUUAACUGCCCCCAC
rnacentral:lncRNA from 1 species